UUUUGUUUCCUGGGCUUGUUCCUGAAGGGUGGCUGCUUAAAUUUUGGGUACGCAUCUUAGUUUCACAGUAAUAGCAAAUGAUACUUUUCCACGUUUAUGGUUUAAGAUUUCAGAUGUCUUCGUUGAAACAUAAAAAUAAAUGAAAUUACGUAGAUGCUUAGUGGCAGCUGGUGAUAACCACAGACUGAGGGACCCAGUAAUUUAAAGGCGCAAGUCUACGUGUCUUUGUCUCUUGGCCAACGUUUUUUUGUGUCUUUGUUCGUAAAUGGGGCCCCUAAGCCGGGUGGGACAAGGGGCAAAGCCCCGUGAUGUCAGUGACACAGCUUCCAAGGCAACAGGGAAGCCAGUUCUGACUCAUUCUGUUCUACUUCCUCUAGAAACAAUGCAAGGACGGCAGGGCUAACUGCCCCACCCACCCAACGGAGCCCCUGUGACCUCCACCAACAAGCUUCAGUGCACCUGCCCUACCAAGACCCAGGAGGGAGGGCACAAAUCCUUCCCCCGGCACUGCUGAGCAUAGGUGCCAAAUAGGGACCUCGUGUGACGGCGGCCCCCCUCCGCCUGUGGACAGCGUAAGGCACAUUUCCUGCUGGCCCACUCCUUCCAGGUGCCUAGGGCUCAGACCCAGUACAGCCAAUGACUGAUCAUUUAGUCUUCAGGCCUCCCCAAGGCCACUCCACGCCCAGAACAACGGGCUUCCCACCCCUGUCUGAUUCCUGAUCGCUGCCUAACUCCUACAGGUCUUUGUAAAACUCGGCUUCCUGCCCCUUGUCCAGGAACAGUCCUGCUUCCCCAGCUCAGUGAGCAUCCACAACACCCCGUAUGAAAGCCUAACACUCUGCUGACUUGUCUCCUGCCCCCCAACUUCCCAGCCUCGAUGACGUUUGACCGAAGAACUCAUUCUCAUUCCUCCGUGAUCCCACAGCUCUGGGCCCAGCGUCUGGUCCAUAAGAAAUGGUAGUUAAAGACAAAUCACCAACCUAAAUGUGAAGCCCAAAUAGAACUAGAAAAAUACUAGAGGCAAACAGGAGAAAAUCUUUGUGAUCUUGAGCUUGGCAAAGAUCUCUCACAGGUAACACCAAAAGCAUGGUCCAUAAGAGAGAACAUUAAAAAAAAAACAAACAUGAUAAGUUAGACUUCACUGCAAUUUAAAACUUCUCUUCAAAAGACAUUAUCAAGAACAUAAAAAGACGAGCCACAGAUUGGAAGAAAAGCAUCUGGAAAACACGAAACUGGUAAAGGGCUUGCUUCCUGAAUUUAUAAAGAACUCACCCAACUCAACGGCAACUCCGUAACUCAACUCCGUAAAAGAUGGUCAAAGAUUCAACACUUUGCCAACGAGGAUAUUCUCGGGAUGGCAAACGAGCACAUGAAAAGAUGCUCCACGUCAUUAGUCGUGAAGUAAAUACAAAUUGAAACCACAAGGAGCUACUACUACAUGCCUAGGAGAAUGGCUAGAAAAUAAAAUAAAAUAAAACAAUAUCGAGUGCGGGGAUUGGAGCAACGGGAACUCUCACUCAUUGCCGGUGGAAAUGCAAAACGGAAUAGAACCUUUGCACAACAGUGCAGCUGUUUCUUAUAAAAUUGAACCUGCACUAACACAACCCAGUAAUCCCACUCCUCAGCAUUUAUCCAAGAGAAAUGGACACUCAAGUUCACAUAAACGUUUGUAAUGGGAAUGUUUGUAACAGCGUGAUUCAUAGGCUUGGUUCAUAAGAGCGAAAACUUGAAACCACCCGACUGUCCUUUGAUGGUGAGUGGAUAUCACUGUGGUAUGUCCACGUGUUGAAUGACGUGCAAAAACAACGCAUGAAUUUUAAGUGCAUUGUGCUAAGUGAAAGAGGCCAAACUGAAAAGGCUACACAUUAUAGGAUUCCAUUUAUAUGACAUUCUGAAAAAGGCAAGACCAUAAGGACCGAAAACAGAGCAGUGGUUACCAGGGCUUGGGACCUCACCCUACAUUCCUCUCCAGCUAGUUCCUCAUCUGUAGCCUUUAUGAUAUCUUUUAUAAGAAACUGGUGGAAGUAUAUAAAUGUUUUUCUGAGUUCUGUGA